CAAUCUAUAUGAAUAGCCUAUGAAAUCUCAGUUUUUCUCUUUCUUUCCAAAUAUAUCUCAAUCUGUUUCUUAGCUCUCUCUCUCUCUCUCUCUGCGUGUCUCUCCCUCUUCCAGGCAGUAUGCGCUGGCUCUGUUAUCCGAAUGGUACGGGCCAAAUCGUAUUAAAAUCCCCUCCCCCUCCCUCACUCCUCCGCCCCACACGCCACCCCUCCUCCCUCCUGUCGUUCAGACAGACUGUUUUUGCUGCAGUGAACGGUAGCCGUGGAGAGAGGGAAAACGCAAGAAAAACAAGAAGCCGAAGAAGGAAGAUAAAAAGUCAAUAUAGACAUAUCCAGAUCAGAUCCAGCGCCAGCUAUCCUGCAUCACAAGGACCACUUCCAGACCAGAACCAACGGCGACAAAUAGUGCAGGACCCGGACUCCAGAGGCGUAUAUCGGUAAAACUCCGGUAACACUCCGGUGCUCUUCUGCCUACCCUCGUGAGGAUUCAUUGAGACGAACAAACAGAUCUGUGUGUCCAACCGACCAUGGCGUUCCCUUCUUACCCGGUCCCUGGUCUAUGGACUCUGAGCUUAUUGACACUACUGGCAGCCUCUGUUCAGAGCAACUUCAUCGUUUUUGGUAAGCGUCUCUCUCACCCCUCCUCCCACACUCCCCCCUCUUCCCCUCCACUAUCUGACGCUCUAUCCUGUUGACGUUUUAUUUGUUACCGUGUGAUUACAAGGGAGUCACGGAGCCGUUAAUAAUAAGCUCAUGGGGCACCUCCCCCCUCCCCCUGAACUCCAACUGAAUUUCUGCUCUUGUUUUUGAAGAAUGUGUGUGACUUACAUGUGCACAAACAGGCCUGUGCUAUGCCUCUCUUGGUGUCACCAACAUAGGUGCGCAUACAUAGACUACCCCUGCACAUUAUUAUGUGGGGCCAAUAUGCUCAUGGUCAUUAGAGACAUUGAAAAUUGAUCAUUGGGAGAGCCCUCAAUGGAUACAGUAGGCCACACACACAUGGAUACGCACACACACACACACACACACACACACACACACACACACACACACACACACACACACACACACACACACACACACACACACACACACACACACACACACACACUGCUCUCAGUGGACACACACACACACACGUCUAUCAAUCAUCAACUGUCUGUCGAUUAAACAGCCAAUGAUUGGCAAAAAAUCAACUUUUUAAGUAUUGAUUUGUUCUAUCAGUAAUUGUUGACCGACGGGGGUCAGACACAAGCAUGUAGUAAUCUUAUAGCCUAUAUAAUAGAGAGUAACUAUCCCAGACUCACUAUCAGACUCUAAAAAACAAAACACUAGACUAUAUUCUCUCACUAUUGCAGAUGUGCACUCACACAGAACCCCACAAAUUUGAACGCAUGCAAACACUUGCACUUACUUUAACUAUGUCAGCUGUUUUUACUGUCUGUUGAAUUAUGCAUAACUGUAUUUUCUGUGCUUCUGCGUAUGAAAUAUGUGGUGAGAGCAGUGUGGAGGGGUUGUCAAUGUGAGUCAAUGGUCAGUGAGAAGCUGUAACCUACUGCUGGGGGUAGGGAUGAUAAACAAUCUUCUGCUGCUUCUGAGAUAAGGGGCCAGUCCCAAAUGGCACCCUAUUCCCUAUAUAGUACACUGCUUUUGACUAGGCCCCAUAGGGAUGCAACUGAGGUCAGUGUUGAGCACAUGCUAAUGAAAUCCUUUCACGGCCCGGUAAAUAUAAAUAACGAUUGCAAUUAUCGAAAAUAUUCAUCAAAUUCAAGCAUGUAUAAGAUGAGAUAAAGUCCUGAUUUCUAAAAUUGAGAGGGCAUAGACCUGAUAGUGAUUUUGGUUCUUCAUGUGGAGCUUAUUUUGUCAAUCCAACACCAAGAUUGAAAUGUGCACCUGCAGUGCAAAGAGGACUUCUCGCAUUCAGAAAUAUGUCACAUUUGAUUAGGGUUUGUAUUGGUGGAGAAUUGACCAUGUAAGAACUACCAUUGGAUUCCCUGAGCUUUUUGGUUGUAGCUAAAAGCUGUUUUACACUGUUGUUGAUCAACUGGGAGCCAUUCAAUCUAGCUUAUCUGAUCAGGUUGUUAAUUAAAGGAGCAAUCGGCGAUUGGUACAUACAUUUUUGGGACUUAAAUUAUUGAUAUACAGCAACACAUGGCUUAAUGUUGUGUGUCCGACCUAGCGGUAGUCUGCGUUCCACAUUGCCCAUAGGGCCCUCAUCAAAAGUAGUGCACUAUAUAGGGGAUAGGGUGCCAUUUGGAACAGAGACCUAGAUAGAUGGAUGGAGGGGAGAGAUGAAGGGGAAGGGGGGUCAAAUAAUGGUGAUAAUGGCCGGUGAAUGGGGAGUUCAUUUUAAAAGGCACUGAACAGAAGGGCCUACUUAGCGUAAAUAAUGCAAUGUUAUGUAUCAGAGAGGAAAAGCGAUUAGCUAGACAGAUCCAUGCACUGCAGUUAAACCAUCAGAUGCACCAAGCCUGUCUGUCACUACAACAUGCCUCAACAUCUAUACUGUUGCUUUCAAGCUUUCAAAGCCUCCAUGUUAUGGUUGUCUCUUACUUUCUUCCGCCCAGACACAAAAUGCACAUGAAUGAUAUGUAUUAGCGAAACAAUACAGGAGAGAGCGUGCAUAUUGUAUGUCAGCGCUCAUUUAAACAUUUGAUGCAGAAUGAAGAAACCCCAUAUGAGCAGUAUGUCCAAGCCAGGGAAAGGACAGCGCUAACGGUUUGUCUCUGCUGUGGCCCCCAUACAGGGAGCUUCUAAUUGCACACAAUUUGACAAAUCCAUUUUCCACAGCUUGAUGUGCAGUGGAGCAGUUCAGAUGGAGUAUAUCGCUGAAGGAUACAUAUUAGAUCACUGUGAUUGGGCAAGAAUAAGUACCAAAUGGCAUCCCCUAUGUAGUGCAGUACUUUUGACCAGAACCCUAUGGGUUUCCUUAAGGGCUCUGGUCAAAAAAGCAAACAUAUAGGGAAUAGGGUGCCAUUUGGAUUACAGCCUCCUGUUUCUGUAUCGCUAACCCAGUUACCUUAGGCCUGUGUGUUGUGUCCACACACACACACACACACACACACACACACAUUGUGGCCGCUAGCCUCUCGUCACUGACGGUGCCCCUUGUCUGCAGAGGCCAAAUUACAGACCUCAGGGAAUAAUGUUUGCAUCCCAAAUGGCACCCUAUUUCUGAUGUAGUGCACUACUUUUGUCCAGGCCCUUAGAGCCAUCUGGGAUCAGAGCCCAUAGAGCAAUAUGUAGGGAACAGGGUGCCAUUUGGGAUGCAACCAUUGUGUGGUCUCAUAGAGAAGACCACAACACAACGUGGUUAAUAGUUUAUUUACCUCAGUGCAUUCUGUCUCGUGCGGCUCGGCAGUGGACCGCUGGAUUAAGUGAGGCAGAGAGAGGCUGCUCUUUCAGCUGUGACCAAUAAUGAAUAAAUAUUAAAGGACGGCAUGCGGGUGUAGACCAAUCAUUAAUUUGGUUGAGAUUUACAGACGGGAGAGAGGGAUGGCCUCUGUUCUGUGCCAGCAGUUCACUUUAGUCUGCUCAGGGAAUGGGGCUCUGGCAGCAUAGAGGCCUACUAAAAGAACCACUCACACCACCGAUUUCCUGUGGGCUGUUUAUUGUUGACUGGCUGACCGACUAAUGUCCCAAAUGGCACCCUAUUACCUAUAUAGUGCACUAUUUUUAACCAGGACAGAUAUAGGAAAUAGGCUGCCAUUUGAGACGCAGAACCUGGCUGACAGGCGUGCUGUUUGUUUUUGACUGACUGACUGGUUGCAUCCCAAAUGGCAGCAUAUUCCUUAUAUAGUGGGCCUUUGUCAAAAGUAGUGUACUAUAAAGGGAAUAGGGUGCUAUUUGGGACUGUUACCUCGACAAUCAUGAGUGGCUCAAGGGAGGAUGGGAGGGAGGCUCUAGCCUGUUAACAAUGCUGAAUGAUAAGCACUGACUCAUUAACAAGCUGGAGUACAAGAAGCCUGAGGGAAUUACUGGCUAGUGACUGUGACAUUAAUAAAGAGGCCUAAGCUUCUACAUCGCCCUCUAACUCUCUCUCUCUACUCUGGAUGGCCCAGCCCAGGCCACUGGUUUUCAAACCUGGGGCCGUAUGUAUCAAGCGACUCAGAGUAGGAGUGCUGAUCUAGGAUCAGUUUUGCCCUUUUAGAUCACAAUAAAUAUAGGUACAGUGCCUUGCAAAAAUAUUCAUCCCCCUUGGCGUUUGUCCUAUUUUGUUGCAUUACAACCUGUAAUUGAAAUAGAUUUUUAUUUGGAUUUCAAAAGUGGUGUGUGCAUAUGUAUUCACCCCCUUUGCUAUGAAGCCCCUAAAUAAGAUCUGGUGCAACCAAUUACCUUCAGAAGUCACACAAUUAGUUAAAUAAAGUCCACUUGUGUGCAAUCUAAGUGUCACAUGAUCUGUCACAUGAUCUCAGUAUAUAUACACCUGUUCUGGAAGGCCCCAGAGUCUGCAACACCACUAAGCAAGGGGGACCACCAAGCAAGCGGCACCAUGAAGACCAAGGAGCUCUCCAAACAGGUCAUGGACAAAGUUGUGGAGAAGUACAGAUCAGGGUUGGGUUAUAAAAAAAUAUCGAAAACUUUGAACAUCCCACAGAUCACCAUUAAAUCCAUUAUUAAAAAUGGAAAGAAUAUGGCACUACAACAAACCUGCCAAGAGAGGGCCACCCACCAAACCUCACGGACCAGGCAAGGAGGGCAUUAAUCAGAGAGGCAACAAAGAGACCAAAGAUAACCCUGAAGGAGUUGCAAAGCUCCACAGCGGAGAUUGGAGUAUCUGUCCACUUUAAGCCGGACACUCCACAGAGCUGGGCUUUACGGAAGAGUGGCCAGAAAAAAGCCAUUGCUUAAAAAAUAAAAUA
rnacentral:lncRNA from 8 species